rnacentral:tRNA from 1 species
CCAUAGUAUAGCGGUCAGUACACCGGACUGUCGCUCCGGAAGCGCGGGUUCGAUUCCCGCUGG